AUGGGGCUGCACCUGUACGAUAUCCCCUACUCUACAUUCUUCAGAGUAGGGGUGAAGGCACAGUCAGCGACCAGACAAGGAGUCGUGAAGAGACAGCGGGGAGCCCUGCUGGGGCUUCUGUGGGUGCAGGUUUGCUGGGUGAGAGGGAUGGAUGUGGAGCAGACACCUGCAGCCCUGAGCCUCCAGGAGGGAGCCAGCUCUACCCUGAGGUGCAAUUUUUCCAGCUCGGUGACCUACGUGCAGUGGUUCCGACAGAACCCCGGGGGCGGCGGCCUCACCCGGCUUUUUUACAUCGCUUCAGGGAUGAAGCAGGAUGGGAGGUUGAACUGCACGGUGAACACGAAGGACCGGCACAGCAGCCUGCACAUCAGGGCCUCCCAGCAGGAAGACUCAGCCACCUAUCUGUGUGCGGUGCAGGCACAGUGCUCCCUGCUGCUCUGCAGCCUGUCCCCAAACUGA